GGCGGGUACAGCUGGCAGAAAGGACAACGGUUGCUGAGAGAACAUUUCAGGCCUCACUGCGGAAUCAACAUGAGCUCCAAGACGAGAGUUCAAAGUCUUACAUUGGAUUGCAAAGGGGGCAUUGAUGGUUGAGAAAACGACAUCUGAGGUGGACCCGCAUGAAAAGGAUAUGUUUGUGAUGAAGGUUCGGGUGGAGGAGGUGGUGGUGGCGGUGGAGGUGAUGGGGUUGAUGGAGGUGGUGGAACCAUAAGUGGUGA
rnacentral:lncRNA from 1 species